ensembl:lncRNA
CACAUCGUCUGGUUUACAGUAGAUGUUAUGAAUGUCGAGCUGCCUGCAGGUCACAAGCUUGUUUCAGCGGGUUUGUUAGUGUAAUUCUGAUUUGUAAAUGAAUUUAUGUCAUGGUCCCUCCGUCCUCUGUGCUACUCCAUGGACCAGCUGUCCGUCCUGGUGAGAGCGCAGCUGAACCUGAUCAGUGAUCAGUGGCUGUUAAAGCCAGACUCUCCCAGCAGUCAGUGCUGGAUCAUUGUCUCUGCUGGCUCCCCACCAGCAGCUUCCCUCCUCUGUCCUUGCCUUGGCUCCCCGUCGCUGCGCUCCCGCAGCCCCGUCUCCGUUGCACGGUAGCAGCGCUGGCGCACGCCGCCACAGACUGCCGGCUGCAGAACCGGUCUGCCCCCCCCGCCCCGUUUGGACUUAUUUAAUUACCCACAAUAUAUGCAGCGGACAUGUCUGUUAACUCAACGUCCAACUAUCUCUACAUCUGUCCCACCAUUAAGGUCCAGGGGAAGGGGGCAGGGAAAAGGAGCGAGUUGACCAAUCAAAGCAGAGAGCUUUCUACACCAUCACAGUUAUAUCAGUCACAGUGUGGUUGUGGUUUGUUGGCCUCCUUCUUUCCCUGGCAAUGGAGACAUCACCUCUGUUGAGCCAUCAUCUCGCCUGUGUGUUGCCACUUCUUGUCAUCUGGUUGAACCUUCCCAGCAGUUUGGUGUCUCCUCUGCUGUAUCUGCACAGGGCUGGAAAACUGUCAUGGUGCUUUAGAAACAAGUAGUAAAGCCAAGGAUUGGAUUUAAAUAAAUCAGGCCAGCAAAGUUGGAAAGACUGGAUAAAAGUGAUGAUAAUGUCUAAUGUUCGAAUGGUUGCUAGGUUACAGCUUAUGCACAACUAAGAGAUGGUCAUGAUAUUCUAUGCAGUUAGUUGCUGUGGUGUUUUCUCAGCUUAUCAGAUAGUUGAAUAGCUGCCGGAGCUGCUUGGUUGUUGCCGGGUAAUUGUGAGGUUGAACUAAACUGCGCUGACAGAAUGUAUGAAUGUACAGUCUUGUGAAAAAGAAUUUGUCCAGAAAUCUUCCAUUUUGGCAUAUUUCUCGUACUGACAUGUUUCAGAUCAUCAAAAUAACAUCAUUUGUACUGAAUAUGAUACAGAUACAAUCCACAACCCAUGAUGUUUCAUUCAACCUAAUAAAUGGUUUGGCAGCAACAACUGAAAUUAAAUAUUUGUUCCAGUUUGUGAUCAGCCUUUUACAUCUCAAUGGAGGAAUUCUGGUCCUCUCUUCUCUGCAGAAUAGUUUUAAUUUGGUCACAUUAGAUGGUUUUAGAUCAGGAACUGCCCAUUUAAGGCCUUGCCACAGCAUCUCAGUUGGUCCAGAGUUAGACUCGGCUACUCCAAAACCUUGACUUUGUUCUCUUUCAGCCACUCAGAGGUGGACUUGCUUGUGGUCUUUGGGUCACUAUCUUGCUGCAUAAACCGUUGUGUUGAAGUUCAGGUCAUGAACUGAUGGUGGAUGUUCUCCAGGAGAAUUUUCUAAAAGAGAGCAGAAUUCAUGGCUCCAUCAGUGAUGACAAGUCAUCCUGAUGAAUGCAGUAUGAGCUUUACACUAGAUGGAACAGACCCAUGGCUUUCAAAAAAUUCCACCUUUGACUCAUCAGUCAAUAGAAAGUUAUCCCAAAACUUUUGGAGCUCUUCGAGUUAUGUUUUUGUAAAUACCAAAGGAGCCUUUAUGUUCUCUUUGGUCAGUAGUGGUUUGAUUCUUCCAACUCUCCCAUGGAUCCAUUUCCUCCCAGAGUCUUCCUUAUUGUGGAAUCAUGUAGAUGGACCUUAACUGAGGCCAGUGAGGUCUGCAGAUCUUUAGAUGUUCUUCUGUAUUCUUUUGUGACCUUCUGGAUAUCG